AUCUGGGGUGAGUUUUGCAGGAUUGCAUCCGGCUUUAUUACAACAUGCUGUGCAAAUCCAUGCAAAACUCGCUGCGCCA
rfam:Danio rerio chromosome 14, GRCz11 reference primary assembly.